rnacentral:rRNA from 1 species
UUAAAGGCACGCCUGCCCAGUGAACAUUAAACGGCCGCGGUACCCUAACCGUGCAAAGGUAGCAUAAUCACUUGUCUACUAAUUAUAGACCUGUAUGAAUGGCAAAAUGAGGAUCUAACUGUCUCUUAUAAUAAAUCAAUUAAACUGAUCUCCUAGUAAAAAAGCUAGAAUUAUCCCAUAAGACCAGAAGACCCUGUGAAGCUUAAAUUAAACUAUUAAACCUUAUAAUAGCUACUUUCGGUUGGGGCGACCUUGGAAAAAAAAAGAACUUCCAAAAAUAUGACCUAUCUCAUACUAAACAGACCAACAAGUCAACAAAUGACCCAGCUAAGACUGAUAAACGAACUAAGUUACUCCAGGGAUAACAGCGCAAUCUUCUUCAAGAGCCCAUAUCAAAAAGAAGGUUUACGACCUCGAUGUUGGAUCAGGACAUCCUAAUGGUGCAGCAGCUAUUAAGGGUUCGUUUGUUCAACGAUUAACAGUCCUACGUGAUCUGAGUUCAUACCGGAAGGGUUCGUUUGUUCAACGAUUAACAGUCCUACGUGAUCUGAGUUCAGACCGGAGA